UACGAAGGGGGCUAGCGUUGUUCGGAAUUACUGGGCGUAAAGCGCGCGCAGGCGGUUCUCCAAGUCAGUGGUGAAAGCCCGGAGCUCAACUCCGGAACUGCCAUUGAAACUGUUGAACUUGAGGACGAGAGAGGUGAGUGGAAUUCCCAGUGUAGAGGUGAAAUUCGUAGAUAUUGGGAAGAACACCGGUGGCGAAGGCGGCUCACUGGCUCGUUUCUGACGCUCAGGCGCGACAGCGUGGGGAUCAAAACAGG
rnacentral:rRNA from 1 species